GGGUGUGAUCAUACCAGCGUUAAUGCAUCAGAUCCCAUCAGAACGCUGCAGUUAAGUGCGCUUGGGCUAGAGUAGUACUGGGAUGUGUGACCUCCCGAAAAGUCCUAGUGUUGCACCCU
rnacentral:rRNA from 1 species